rnacentral:lncRNA from 1 species
CUGGGGCUUGUGUGCCAUGUGCCUGUGACAGACACUGGGCCAAAAUAACAACAGGUGCCAGCUCAGGCCCAGGGUGUGUGUCAGCAGAGGGGACGCUGUCCUGAGGCCACAGGGGGACAGAGAGGCCCCUGGAGGACAGACAACACCUUCACCUCCUGCCUGCAGGGCUUGGUAACAGUGGGCCAGGGUCCUGCUCCCAAAGGUAUCUGAGUCCCAUGUCACCAAGAUCCACAUCCUCUCUGCUCAGCCUCCACCUUGGCCAGGGGCAAGGUCACUGUCCACGUGUGGGAGGAGACCCAAGAAAGGGAUGUGGACAAGGUGCCACUUCAAUCCUGCCAUGAUUCCAUUCAGCCAUUUCACCUCACUGUAACUCCUGGCCCAGGCACCCAUGUGGCCGAUUCCUCAUCUCUACCCUGGGAGGGGUCUCAGGACCCAUGGGAUGUUGCUCUUAAUGCACAGAGUUACACACAACCUUUCCUCAGCUAACAAGCUGGGCUGAAAGGCUAGUAUUUCUAGGUGUCCCUUCUGACAUUUCACUUUAAUAUGAGGCUCACUUCCAGCCAGAUCCUCCUGUGCCCUCCUGGUAGGAGCCACUAUGGACAAUUCAGAGUUUGAUCAAGGCUUAAUCCUUAAUCCCUCCUGAUGAGUCAUGGGUGGGACCCCAAUUCCAUUUCUCCCCAUUGUCCCCUCACAGAUUAGAAAUCAGGUGGCUGAGAGCCUGGCAGAGGUCUGCAGAGUGAGGACAGCAUAGGCAGGCAUGCUGGAAAUCCUGAGGGAGGCCUUGGGGCAGGCCUUCCUGGACAGCUGGCCCAUCAACUGGCCCUGCUUCCCAGACCCCAUAAGGGCCUGCAUUUCCUCCCCACAGGAGGGGAUGCUGGGAAGCCUGAUGUCCUCUGUCCUUGACUCCUUGCUGGAGCUGAUCUCCCAAGUGCAUCACACCACCAAACUUCUCCUGGCCCAGCUAGAGCAUGCCAAGCCCACUGAGGCAGAGCCCAAGGAUGAGGAAGACUGUGGUGUGAGCCUAUGGGCAUGUGGGGAGGGAGGGGCCUUUGGACACAGAGAGAGUGUCCAGUACAUGGGGACACUCAGCAGUCAGUGGGCUGAUGCAGUCUGUGGGGACUUCCUGGGGGAGGCUUUAUGCACAGAGCUCUCUCUGACAGGAAGUGGGAAGGUUGUGCCCCAGGAAGGAACAUGGACAGUUGGUGAUCUUUUCUUCUCUUUCAACUGCAGGAGCAGCUCCACUCAAAGCUGAAGUCCCAGCUGCAGAGCCUGUGCCAGCUCCACCUGCAGCUUGCUCCUCAGCUCUGCCACCACAGGGAAAGCCGGUGCCAGGAACCCCUUUUCCACCAGCUGCACAGCUGGGUCACCUGGUGGCUCCUCAGCAGGUGUCAGCUCCUGAGCCCCCCCUGGGGCCAGCUCCUGCCCCACACCUGCCAUUCCCCUCUAUUACUGUUG